UUGAAGAAGGAAAAUUAAAAGGCAAACCAUUCCAGUAUCUGUGCCAAGAAAACCCUAAAUGGGGAAUCACGAAGAAUCGGAUGUGAAUGAAAUGACUGAACAACGACGACAAUUUCCUGACUCCAGGACCAGCACUUUGUUCAUCGGACCAUCAUCUCCAAGAUGCCUGCAAGGGAAAUAAAGGCAUCUCCCAGCUGUACCAUUCAACAUUCUGUGACCCCCAAGGGCACUUCCAGCUCCAACAUUCUGCAAUUCUGUGAUCAGAUCUUCAGAGCCAAAGGAACUUCGUGUGGCUCAACAAUGAGGGAAUGCUGAGUGUGAAGCUCAUGCGUGAUUGAUAUGACAGAAAGACAGAGAAAUGGAGAAACAGCGCCUGGCAAUAAAGCAGAACCAUGCACCCAGCAACACCUUUGAUCUCGACCAUAUGGAGUUCCUCCUUGCUCUCGAAAAAAUCUCCCUUGUCUCCGAGAGAAACUGGGGCCCCCAGAUGGCCAAAUACCACUCCUGACCAUGACUUCAUUGAUUAUGCUAUCUUCUGAUUGGUCCUGAUUGAAAAUAAAUAAAACGUGCCUU